CGGGAAACUGAGUAUAAUGCCCGAUAGAACACUAUACCUGGAAUGGUUUGUGUUCCAAAUGAAUGUCGCCGUAGGAUGGGACUGCGGCCUAUCAGUUUGUUGGUGAGGUAAUGGCCCACCAAGACUAUUACAGGUACGGGCUCUGAGAGGAGUAGCCCGGAGAUGGGUACUGAGACACGGACCCAGGCCCUAUGGGGCGCAGCAGGCGAGAAAACUUUGCAAUGUGCGAAAGCACGACAAGGUUAAUCCGAGUGGUUUGUGCUAAACGAACCUUUUGACAGUCCUAGAAACACUGUUGAAUAAGGGGUGGGCAAGUUCUGGUGUCAGCCGCCGCGGUAAAACCAGCACCUCAAGUGGUCAGGAUGAUUAUUGGGCCUAAAGCAUCCGUAGCCGGCUCUGUAAGUUUUCGGUUAAAUCUGUACGCUCAACGUACAGGCUGCCGGGAAUACUGCAGAGCUAGGGAGCGGGAGAGGUAGACGGUACUCGGUAGGAAGGGGUAAAAUCCUUUGAUCUAUUGAUGACCACCUGUGGCGAAGGCGGUCUACCAGAACACGUCCGACGGUGAGGGAUGAAAGCUGGGGGAGCAAACCGGAUUAGAUACCCGGGUAGUCCCAGCUGUAAACUAUGCAAACUCAGUGAUGCAUUGGCUUGUGGCCAAUGCAGUGCUGCAGGGAAGCCGUUAAGUUUGCCGCCUGGGAAGUACGUACGCAAGUAUGAAACUUAAAGGAAUUGGCGGGGGAGCACCACAAGGGGUGAAGCCUGCGGUUC
rnacentral:rRNA from 1 species